AUGGAAGAAGAUCAGCCCAGGAAAAGGCGCCGCCCCAACUUCUCAGAUGAGGAGAUUUUGGCUCUGGUGAUUGCGGUGUCUAAAAAUCAAGAUAUUUUGUUUGGGAAAUUUCAUUUGGACAUUGGCAGUACAGCCAGCAGUCUGAAAACUACUGCCUGGGAGAAUGUGACUGAUGCUGUAAACGGCAUCAGUGAAGUGCGCAGAAACACAGACGAAGUCAGAAAGAAGUACAAGCACUUCAAGUCUGAGGUGAAGAAAAAGAAGGCAAAUGAGAAGAAGCACCUCAAAGGAACAGAUGCACGUCUGGCCAAGAGGGUUUACUACACUCCCGCCGAGAAAGCCCUCCUGAACCUCUUAGCGGAGCAGUCUGCGGUGGGGAGUUCAGAGGUGCCUUGUCUAAAUGAUGUGGAACUGGCUGUUGAAGAGAAAGAGGAACCACAUUCACCAGUGUCAGGGGAGCACCUGGUGAGGCCAUCUUCCCCCGCUCCUGUGAUGGGGCUGCCUGCUGAAGAACCAGGGCCGUCAACCUCUGUGCUCACUACGGAAACUUCUGCACCAGUGUCACCAACAACGAAUCAUCUGUCUUCAAGACACCGAGGAUCAAGGCGGACAUUAAGCCAGCGCCGAAGGCAGCUUCCCAACCAUCAGGGAACAAUGGAGGACAUGCUUGGGGUUCAAAGACAAAUAAGAGAUUUGCUGCAGGACCUCAACAACACAGUAGCCACUGGAUUCAGAGACAUAGCAGCAGCUAUAAGAUAUGUGGCAGACAAAGGCAGUCAUACAUGAGUUAAAGGUCCUCAUUUGCAUAGGAUUCAACUUUUUCCAACUUUUAUCGGUCGCGUCGCCCAAAACGGUGGUCUACGUCACAAUGGAUUGGCUCCCGUUGAAAUGCAUGGGAUUUAGAAUAUCGCGUCGCUCGUAACGGUGUCAUGGGUUUGCACCGUUUAGUUUUUUUUUGCGGGAGAUUGUUGAUAUUUGAACUCCUUUCCCCUACAUUUCGAACUCAUGAAGCAACAUGCCGAGUGGCUGGUAUUGUUUAUAGCUUGGCCCAAACCACUGUGUUUGUUUGUACUAUGUACGAACACUAUGAUGCAAUUUUUUUUAGCGUGAAAACUAAACGGACAGCUAGAGAACAGUGAGGAGCAAUUUGACAAAAAGUGUAUGUGAUCAGAAUCUUUUUUCAUUUGUCAAUUAGAAUUUUUUUCAUAUGUGACUCAGUUUGCAUGUAAUUUGUAAUUUCUUACUUUUGGCCUCUCUUUUUGUACUUACGUUUGGUCUGUCUUUUGUACUCUCAGACUGUGUGUAUGUAGAGUGAGCUGUCAUACUGUUUUCAGUUCUGUAGGAUGUCCUUUUGUAUUUUAGUGUAACUUGGUUAAGAAAAUGCUUUUAUACACAAAGAAAAAAAUGUGAAUUUUUUUUGUUCAGCAUUGACUUAAUUUCCUUUGGGCACGUGGUAUUGUUUAUGCUCGACAAAAAUCAAGUCAGGUGCUCUGGGGCCUGGCCCUCAUUAGUGUCGAACCCUUUCAGAAACCUUUAGAUAAAUCCGCUGAAGCUUUGAACAAUUCCAUGUAUUUCCAUGUCUGAAGUCAUAAGAUUGCUAGUGCUUAGAGUUAUGUGGCGAUACCAUCAGUAGGCUAAACAUUUUCAAGGACAACAAAAACACUGAAUGAAACGGCUGUUUCAAGAAUCAUGAAAGCGUUGAAAUCUUGUGCCUAGUGAGCUGUUAACACUAAAGACACAAAAAGCCUCUCAUUUGGCUUGUAGGAUUACCUUUUUGUUUGACCACAUUUAUUUUGGCAGCUGUUCCGUAGCUAAGGUCAGUGUGUGAUGACUACACACUACAUCAUACCCAAAAGCUCUUCUUUUUUUGUUUUGAAAACAGUAAAAAUCCUACAGAUAGCAACACUGAGAACUCCGCUAACAGUGGCAGAACACCAGAAUGGACAUGGUGUUUCAUUUCACGUGUGUCAAGAUUAACCAAAGACAAAACUAUAUACUAUAUAUAUGGUAUGGGGACACAGCCUGUCUGAACCUAAAAGAAUGGUGAAUAUCUGUAAUGUGUAAAGAAAUCAAGGCAGUGAUUUCAUGCAGAAAGCAAACAGAGUUUAUAGGUAGACAUCGGGAAACAAAAUAAUGUAAAGUCACAAAUCAGAAAGUUGUUUCUCAAACCUCAAAGUAUGUCCCAUUGUAUACUUUUGAGAGAUCUUUUUACAUGGAUCACAUGGCCAUAUGUCUGAGCCUGAAGCCAUCUCAGUUGUAGCUGGCUGCCGUCAGACAUAUUGGUUUUUCUGCCAAUACAUCAGUGGCCUGCCACAUUGCCACUACCAGCUAGCUAAUCAGUGAAAUGAUUGUCCAACUUGUUUCCAGUCUGCUUCAUAUGUGUUACAUGUAGCCCUCGUCGGUUUGGCUGUAGACUGAUCUCAAGUCAGAGUCCAGUGGCUUCUUCUUUGUACCACAUCGUUUAAUUAAAUACUGUAGCAACCACCAGGCAUGUGCUCAAGCAAUCGACUCACACUCAACUUUGGUGAAGCUAACUGGUGAUCUUUUCCUGGCACCAUCUUCAGCCUUUCUUGCCUUCAUACGGAAUGCAGGAGAGGAAAGUUCCGUAAUAUGCCUACACCUUUCUGUAUUAGCACGGCACGGCACGGCACGGCAAACCUGUGUUAUGGGUUAAUACAGCUAAUCUAUCUAAGAUAUCUGCGAAGUCAACACAUGCCCUGGCAGGCUUUUUAAAAAAAAAGAAUAAAAUGUUUAAACCCCUUGAACCCCUAGACA
ensembl:lncRNA